AGAUUCAAGGAAUGAGGUGGGAAGCUCUAAUAUUGUACUGAUUUUUUGGUUAAGGUUCGUGGAAGUUUCAAGUUGAUAGUGACAUUAGAAAAAAUCAUUAGUAGCAAUUUCGUGCAAUUUUUUUUUUUUUUUUUGAAAAUUCAACCAUAAUAUAAAAGGGCAAUGCGCCCUUUGCACACACCUUGGAUGAAAGAAUCUGGGUAUUGGAUCAGCCCCACUAGUCAUCUUUUCUUUAAGAUUCAUAAAACUUUAUUAGAAGUAGUGAUUUUUGGAGUUGCUUAUCGUUUGCAACGGCCAUAAGAGAAAAUAGAUGGCAACCUAGUUCCAACCACCAUUUUUAAGGAUGAACCUUUCCCCCUUUUCAAGCGUUCAUCUUAGCUCUCAAUUUCACCUUCUUUGGAGCAAUAAUGGUUAUAUCUCUAUGCAAGAGAUAUUCGAGAAUUGUUAAACACAAUUGUCUAAUGGUUAAAUCUGUAUGCAAGAGAUAUUCGAGAAUUGUUAGAUACGAUCGUCUUCUUGUUAUUGUUUCUGUAACAAUAGCGGUUGCAAUACUCAUAUGUUCCUGUAUCUUCUGCUUUGAUAUCAAGAAUGGUGCUUCCAGGAAAUAUAAGGUUGGAGAGGAUGCUUAUAAAAGGCAAUGUCCCGAGGAACAUUUUCCCACACCUUUGAAUGAAAAAAGGGAAUUAUUAAUUGGGAUCGUCCUCAGUAGUCAAUCUUGUCUCGAAAAUGAAUAAAAAUUCAGUAGAGCAAACGAUUUUUGGAGCUGCCUUUGUGACAGUUAUUGCUCUUCCACUACUGCCAUAUCAGAAAAUUGGUGGCAACCCAGUGCCGACCAUCAUCUUUAACGACAACCCUUCCUCCUUCACUGCAUUCGUUUUAGCUCUCAAUUUUGCCUUCACCGGCGCCGUAAUGGCUAUAUAUCUACGAACGGCAUGUCCGAGAAUUGCUAGCUAUUGUCGCUUUCUUGCUAUUGUUUCCAUUGCAACAGCGGCGGCAAUACCUAUGUGGUUAGUCUUAACCUCCACUUCCGGACUUCGCCCUCAAUUUCAUGCCCAUAUUGAUCUUUAGUUCCUAAACUCAUGUCUCUGAAUUUUCAUCAAUAAAAUAGAGUACACAAAGUAUUGAGGCAAAGGAUACUGCUGGUUUUUUUCCUUUCUUUCUUUCUUUAUUUCUUUCUUUUCUUGUUUUUGGUUUUGUUUCCCCUGUGUGUGUGUGUGUGUAUAUAUAUAUAUAUAUAAAUAAAAUAAGGUGUUAUGCCAAUUCACUGGCUUCAUUUCAUCAGCACAGCAAUAAAUGAUUAUUGCAUCUAUGUGCCACCACCUAGUGUUGUGAUUGUGCGACUACACAACCAGAGGGAUGAUGAGCUGAAGAGGAGUUGCAUAUCAUGGUAAUAUAGGGGGCUUUGUGUUGCUUGGUAUUUCACCUAAGGUAAAAUAUUCCUGUGUACUGAUGAGUUUUGUUAAAUUGAAUGGACAAAUGAGUUGAUUAAAUGAA